UUGUCUUCUCUCUCUCUUCCUCUUGGUUGCUGUUUUUUUUUUUUUUGAGAAUCGUCGAUGUUGCUCAUGGUUUUGAGAAAUCUCUACAAAAUUUAUUCAAUUUCAGAUUCUCUAAGAAGGAGGAGGAGGUAAAGGAACACAUGGUUCAGUUGGCGGCGGCAGCGGAGAGGAGCAGGCGGAUAAUCGGAGAUUACGGAGUGGGACGACAAAUCGGGUCCAGUUCGUUUUCGGUGGUGUGGGAAGGGAGGCAUCUUGUAGAUGGAACUGUGGUUGCUAUUAAGGAGGUAUACAUGGCUAGGCUUAUAAAGAAGUUGUAAGAUAGUCUCAUGUCGGAGAUUUUCAUCUUGAGGAAGAUCAAUCACCCCAACAUCAUCCGCUUCAUCGACAUGAUCGAGGAACCAGGGAAAAUAGCAUCAAAGCAUUGUUAAUGAAUUCUGUUCAUCAGACACUUGCUUCUUUCUUUCACUACGGUGUCCACUCUUUUUCAUAUGGCAAGUUAGUUUAUGUGAUUGAUUUGAAAAUUAUUGUGUGCAAUCUGUGUAUAAUAUGACUAUCUGUGAAGCUAUACAGGUAAAAAAUGAUUCAUUUAUAGCUCGUGCUUGUUCAUUGCGGAUGAGAAAAAAGCAACAGAAAAUUGAUUUGUGUAUUUUCUAUGAUGAUAUCAAAACAGAGGAUUGGAAAUGGGUUGGAUCUUACCUCAAAGGAAGACUCAGACAACUGAAAGAAAAACAUGAAAGUAAACCUCUAUGUCUCUUAUCUCUCACAUGCUCUCUCUCGUUUAUAACAUUAUGUUUAUGGAUAUGGUUUCUUCUCUAAUGUAGUUGUUAUAUUAAUUUAAAUGAAAGGUUUGUUGGUUGGUU